GACGAACGCUGGCGGCGUGCUUAACACAUGCAAGUCGAACGGAAAGGCCCUGCUUUUGUGGGGUGCUCGAGUGGCGAACGGGUGAGUAACACGUGAGUAACCUGCCCUUGACUUUGGGAUAACUUCAGGAAACUGGGGCUAAUACCGGAUAGGAGCUCCUGCUGCAUGGUGGGGGUUGGAAAGUUUCGGCGGUUGGGGAUGGACUCGCGGCUUAUCAGCUUGUUGGUGGGGUAGUGGCUUACCAAGGCUUUGACGGGUAGCCGGCCUGAGAGGGUGAACGGCCACAUGGGGACUGAGAGACGGACCAGAGUGCUACGGGAGGCAGCAGUGGGGAAUAUUGCACAAUGGGCGGAAGCCUGAUGAAGCAACGCCGCGUGCGGGAUGACGGCCUUCGGGGUGUAAACCGCUUGCGCCUGUGACGAAGCGUGAGUGACGGUAAUGGGUAAAGAAGCACCGGCUAACUACGUG
rnacentral:rRNA from 1 species